rnacentral:lncRNA from 1 species
GUCCCUCUUUUAAUAAACUUCUAGGCAUUUCAUUUGCUAUCAUGACAAUAGGAACAUUUUUCUUUUUAGUGAAUACGCGUGAGUACUUUGAAUCGAGUCUACACUCCUGACCAUCUAAAAUUCUCAAAAGGGUGUUGAAGUACGGAGUUCCCGAAUCGAAGGCUCCGUAUGCUCCUUCAUCUGGCUCAUGAAAUUCAUCAAAGAGCCAUAGGUCAUAGUAAUUGUUUGCCCCUGUAAAGUCAUUUCUCCUAGCACUUGCAAAAUAAAUUCUUAAUACUUUUG